UUGUGACUGCAGAUUCCCGAGGG
rnacentral:piRNA from 1 species